AGAGUUUGAUCCUGGCUCAGGAUGAACGCUAGCUACAGGCUUAACACAUGCAAGUCGAGGGGCAGCGGGAUUGAAGCUUGCUUCAAUUGCCGGCGACCGGCGCACGGGUGAGUAACACGUAUCCAACCUUCCGUUUACUCGGGGAUAGCCUUUCGAAAGAAAGAUUAAUACCCGAUAGUAUGGUGAGAUUGCAUGAUAGCACCAUUAAAGAUUCAUCGGUAAACGAUGGGGAUGCGUUCCAUUAGGUAGUAGGCGGGGUAACGGCCCACCUAGCCUGCGAUGGAUAGGGGUUCUGAGAGGAAGGUCCCCCACAUUGGAACUGAGACACGGUCCAAACUCCUACGGGAGGCAGCAGUGAGGAAUAUUGGUCAAUGGGCGAGAGCCUGAACCAGCCAAGUAGCGUGAAGGAUGAAGGUCCUACGGAUUGUAAACUUCUUUUAUAAGGGAAUAAAACGCUCCACGUGUGGAGCCUUGUAUGUACCUUAUGAAUAAGCAUCGGCUAACUCCGUGCCAGCAGCCGCGGUAAUACGGAGGAUGCGAGCGUUAUCCGGAUUUAUUGGGUUUAAAGGGAGCGCAGACGGGAUGUUAAGUCAGCUGUGAAAGUUUGCGGCUCAACCGUAAAAUUGCAGUUGAUACUGGCGUUCUUGAGUGCAGUUGAGGUGUGCGGAAUUCGUGGUGUAGCGGUGAAAUGCUUAGAUAUCACGAAGAACUCCGAUUGCGAAGGCAGCUCACUAAACUGUAACUGACGUUCAUGCUCGAAAGUGUGGGUAUCAAACAGGAUUAGAUACCCUGGUAGUCCACACGGUAAACGAUGGAUACUCGCUGUUGGCGAUAUACGGUCAGCGGCCAAGCGAAAGCGUUAAGUAUCCCACCUGGGGAGUACGCCGGCAACGGUGAAACUCAAAGGAAUUGACGGGGGCCCGCACAAGCGGAGGAACAUGUGGUUUAA
rnacentral:rRNA from 1 species